AACGAACGCUGGCGGCAUGCCUAACACAUGCAAGUCGAACGAGACCUUCGGGUCUAGUGGCGCACGGGUGCGUAACGCGUGGGAACCUGCCCUUAGGUUCGGAAUAACUCCCCGAAAGGGGUGCUCAUACCGGAUAAUGUCUUCGGACCAAAGAUUUAUCGCCUUUGGAUGGGCCCGCGUUGGAUUAGCUAGUUGGUAGGGUAAAAGCCUGCCAAGGCGACGAUCCAUAGCUGGUCUGAUAGGAUGAUCAGCCACACUGGGACUGAGACACGGCCCAGACUCCUACGGGAGGCAGCAGUGGGGAAUAUUGGACAAGGGGCGAAAGCCUGAUCCAGCAAUGCCGGGUGAGUGAUGAAGGCCUUAGGGUUGUAAAGCUCUUUUACCCGGGAUGAUAAUGACAGUACCGGGAGAAUAAGCUCCGGCUAACUCCGUG
rnacentral:rRNA from 1 species